CCUACGGGUGGCAGCAGUGGGGGAUAUUGCACAAUGGGGGGAACCCUGAUGCAGCGAAGCCGCGUGGGUGAAGAAGGGCCUCGGCGCGUAAAGCCCUGUCAGCAGGGAAGAAAAUGACGGUACCUGAAGAAGAAGCCCCGGCUAACUACGUGCCAGCAGCCGCGGUGAUACGUAGGGGGCAAGCGUUAACCGGAAUUACUGGGUGUAAAGGGGGCGGAGACGGCGAUGCAAGCCAGGCGGGAAAGCCGGGGGCCCAACCCCGGGACCGCUGUUGGCACUGGGGGGCUGGAGUGUAGGAGGGGCAGGCGGAAUGCGUGGUGUAGCGGUGAAAUGCGUAGAUAUCAGGAGGAACACCGGUGGCGAAGGCGGCCUGCUGGACUGCAACUGACGUUGAGGCCCGAAAGCGUGGGGAGCGAACAGGAUUAGAUACCCGAGUAGUC
rnacentral:rRNA from 1 species